AGAGAGAGAGAGAGAGAGGAGGGGGGGGGGGAGCUCGUCGUAACGAGUCACGUUUGCAAGGACAAGCAGAGCGUGGCCGAGCGGGGCCACCGGUGCGCAUCGCGAUCUCAUCGAUGCAU